rnacentral:rRNA from 1 species
UACGGGGGGGGCAAGCGUUGUUCGGAAUUACUGGGCGUAAAGGGCUGGUAGGCGGCCAACUAAGUCGGAUGUGAAAUCCCCAGGCUUAACCUGGGAACUGCAUCCGAUACUGGUCGGCUUGAAUCCGGGAGAGGGAUGCAGAAUUCCAGGUGUAGCGGUGAAAUGCGUAGAUAUCAGGAGGAACACCUAUUGCGAAGGCAGCUCGCUGGGACGUAACUGACGCUGAGACGCGAAAGCGUGGGGAGCAAACAGG